GCGCCUGUAGCUCAGCGGAAGAGCGGCGGCCUUCUAAGCCGCGGGUCGGGGGUUCGAAUCCUCCCAGGCGCA
rnacentral:tRNA from 1 species